AUUUCUGUUAAUAAUUUAUAUAAAAUAUUUUGAAUAUUUAUAUAACAUUAACAUAAUUCAUAUUACUAUAUUUUUUAGUAUAUGAAAUUUUACUUUGAGAAAAUUAGAGUGCUUAAAGCAGGCAUAUGCCUUGAAUACUCCAGCAUGGAAUAAUAUUAAAGAUUUUUAUCUUUCUUAUUGGUUCUAAGAUAAGAAUAAUGAUUAAUAGGGACAGUUGGGGGCGUUUGUAUUUAACAGUCAGAGGUGAAAUUCUUAGAUUUGUUAAAGACAAACUAAUGCGAAAGCAUUUGCCAAGGAUGUUUUCAUUAAUCAAGAACGAAAGUUAGGGGAUCGAAGACGAUCAGAUACCGUCGUAGUCUUAACCAUAAACUAUGCCAACUAGAGAUUGGAGGUUGUUCCUUACUCCUUCAGCACCUUA
rnacentral:rRNA from 1 species